rnacentral:lncRNA from 1 species
UCUAAAUUCUCGUUUCUCACUUUUUUUUUCAGAUACGUUCUCUCUCUCUCUCUUUCAACUCAAUCUCUCUCUUCUUCUUCUCAAGGUCGACGGCCUCUUCUUCUCCGGCCACCUUCUCCGGUCGGCGUCAACUGCCGACGUGCCUAGGUCCGUCGUGGCCGCACCUACCUCUCAGAAUCAGUCGAGAGCUCCUUCUCUCUCUAAAUCAGUCAAGGUCUCUCCCUCGAUUCAGUCGACAUCCGACGCCGCCGCUUCCUUCUCCGGC